AGUCGAGCGGGGAAAGGUAGCUUGCUACCUGACCUAGCGGCGGACGGGUGAGUAAUGCUUAGGAAUCUGCCUAUUAGUGGGGGACAACAUUCCGAAAGGAAUGCUAAUACCGCAUACGCCCUACGGGGGAAAGCAGGGGAUCUUCGGACCUUGCGCUAAUAGAUGAGCCUAAGUCAGAUUAGCUAGUUGGUGGGGUAAAGGCCUACCAAGGCGACGAUCUGUAGCGGGUCUGAGAGGAUGAUCCGCCACACUGGGACUGAGACACGGCCCAGACUCCUACGGGAGGCAGCAGUGGGGAAUAUUGGACAAUGGGCGAAAGCCUGAUCCAGCCAUGCCGCGUGUGUGAAGAAGGCCUUUUGGUUGUAAAGCACUUUAAGCGAGGAGGAGGCUACUUGGAUUAAUACUCUAGGAUAGUGGACGUUACUCGCAGAAUAAGCACCGGCUAACUCUGUGCCAGCAGCCGCGGUAAUACAGAGGGUGCGAGCGUUAAUCGGAUUUACUGGGCGUAAAGCGUGCGUAGGCGGCUUUUUAAGUCGGAUGUGAAAUCCCUGAGCUUAACUUAGGAAUUGCAUUCGAUACUGGGAAGCUAGAGUAUGGGAGAGGAUGG
rnacentral:rRNA from 1 species